UACGUAGGGUGCAAGCGUUAAUCGGAAUUACUGGGCGUAAAGCGUGCGCAGGCGGUUUUGUAAGUCUGUCGUGAAAUCCCCGGGCUCAACCUGGGAAUUGCGAUGGAGACUGCAAGGCUGGAGUCUGGCAGAGGGGGGGUAGAAUUCCACGUGUAGCAGUGAAAUGCGUAGAUAUCAGGAGGAACACCGAUGGCGAAGGCAGGUCUCUGGGCUGACACUGACGCUCAUGCACGAAGCGUGGGGAGCAAACAGG
rnacentral:rRNA from 1 species